AUUGAACGCUGGCGGCAGGCUUAACACAUGCAAGUCGAGCGGUAGCACAAGAGAGCUUGCUCUCUGGGUGACGAGCGGCGGACGGGUGAGUAAUGUCUGGGAAACUGCCUGAUGGAGGGGGAUAACUACUGGAAACGGUAGCUAAUACCGCAUAACGUCGCAAGACCAAAGAGGGGGACCUUCGGGCCUCUUGCCAUCAGAUGUGCCCAGAUGGGAUUAGCUAGUAGGUGGGGUAAUGGCUCACCUAGGCGACGAUCCCUAGCUGGUCUGAGAGGAUGACCAGCCACACUGGAACUGAGACACGGUCCAGACUCCUACGGGAGGCAGCAGUGGGGAAUAUUGCACAAUGGGCGCAAGCCUGAUGCAUCCAUGCCGCGUGUGUGAAGAAGGCCUUCGGGUUGUAAAGCACUUUCAGCGAGGAGGAAGGUGGUGAACUUAAUACGUUCAUCAAUUGACGUUACUCGCAGAAGAAGCACCGGCUAACUCCGUGCCAGCAGCCGCGGUAAUACGGAGGGUGCAAGCGUAAUUCGGAAUUACUGGGCGUAAAGCGCACGCAGGCGGUUUGUUAGUCAGAUGUGAAAUCCCCGGGCUCAACCUGGGAACUGCAUUUGAAACUGGCAAGCCAGAGUCUCGUAGAGGGGGGUAGAAUUCCAGGUGUAGCGGUGAAAUGCGUAGAGAUCUGGAGGAAUACCGGUGGCGAAGGCGGCCCCCUGGACGAAGACUGACGCUCAGGUGCGAAAGCGUGGGGAGCAAACAGGAUUAGAUACCCUGGUAGUCCACGCUGUAAACGAUGUCGAUUUGGAGGUUGUGCCCUUGAGGCGUGGCUUCCGGAGCUAACGCGUUAAAUCGACCGCCUGGGGAGUACGACCGCAAGGUUAAAACUCAAAUGAAUUGACGGGGGCCCGCACAAGCGGUGGAGCAUGUGGUUUAAUUCGAUGCAACGCGAAGAACCUUACCUACUCUUGACAUCCAGAGAACUUUCCAGAGAUGGAUUGGUGCCUUCGGGAACUCUGAGACAGGUGCUGCAUGGCUGUCGUCAGCUCGUGUUGUGAAGUGUUGGGUUAAGUCCCGCAACGAGCGCAACCCUUAUCCUUUGUUGCCAGCGGUUCGGCCGGGAACUCAAAGGAGACUGCCAGUGAUAAACUGGAGGAAGGUGGGGAUGACGUCAAGUCAUCAUGGCCCUUACGAGUAGGGCUACACACGUGCUACAAUGGCAUAUACAAAGAGAAGCGACCUCGCGAGAGCAAGCGGACCUCAUAAAGUAUGUCGUAGUCCGGAUUGGAGUCUGCAACUCGACUCCAUGAAGUCGGAAUCGCUAGUAAUCGUAGAUCAGAAUGCUACGGUGAAUACGUUCCCGGGCCU
rnacentral:rRNA from 1 species